rnacentral:rRNA from 1 species
AGAGUUUGAUCAUGGCUCAGAACGAACGCUGGCGGCAUGCCUAACACAUGCAAGUCGAACGAACCCUUCGGGGUGAGUGGCGCACGGGUGCGUAACGCGUGGGAACCUGCCCUUAGGUUCGGAAUAACAGCGAGAAAUUGCUGCUAAUACCGGAUAAUGUCUUCGGACCAAAGAUUUAUCGCCUUAGGAUGGGCCCGCGUUGGAUUAGCUAGUUGGUGAGGUAAAGGCUCACCAAGGCGACGAUCCAUAGCUGGUCUUAGAGGAUGAUCAGCCACACUGGGACUGAGACACGGCCCAGACUCCUACGGGAGGCAGCAGUGGGGAAUAUUGGACAAUGGGCGAAAGCCUGAUCCAGCAAUGCCGCGUGAGUGAUGAAGGCCUUAGGGUUGUAAAGCUCUUUUACCAGGGAUGAUAAUGACAGUACCUGGAGAAUAAGCUCCGGCUAACUCCGUGCCAGCAGCCGCGGUAAUACGGAGGGAGCUAGCGUUGUUCGGAAAUACUGGGCGUAAAGCGCACGUAGGCGGCGUCGUAAGUCAGGGGUGAAAUCCCAGAGCUCAACUCUGGAACUGCCCUUGAAACUGCAAUGCUAGAAUCUUGGAGAGGCGAGUGGAAUUCCGAGUGUAGAGGUGAAAUUCGUAGAUAUUCGGAAGAACACCAGUGGCGAAGGC